rnacentral:rRNA from 1 species
CUACGGGAGGCACCAGUGGGGAAUAUUGGACAAUGGGCGCAAGCCUGAUCCAGCCAUGCCGCGUGAGUGAUGAAGGCCCUAGGGUUGUAAAGCUCUUUCGCCAGGGACGAUAAUGACGGUACCUGGAUAAGAAGCCCCGGCUAACUUCGUGCCAGCAGCCGCGGUAAUACGAAGGGGGCUAGCGUUGUUCGGAAUCACUGGGCGUAAAGCGCACGUAGGCGGAUCUUUAAGUCAGGGGUGAAAUCCCGAGGCUCAACCUCGGAACUGCCUUUGAUACUGGAGGUCUCGAGUUCGGGAGAGGUGAGUGGAACUGCGAGUGUAGAGGUGAAAGUCGUAGAUAUUCGCAAGAACACCAGUGGCGAAGGCGGCUCACUGGCCCGAUACUGACGCUGAGGUGCGAAAGCGUGGGGAGCAAACAGGAUUAGAUACCCGGGUAGUC